ACGAACGCUGGCGGCGUGCUUCACACAUGCAAGUCGAACGGUGAAGCGCCUUCCUUUUUGGUGGGUGUGGAUGAGUGGCGAACGGGUGAGUAACACGUGAGUAACCUGCCCCCUUCUUCUGGAUAACCGCAUGAAAGUGUGGCUAAUACGGGAUAUUCUGGGUCUGUCGCAUGAUGGGUCUGGGAAAGAUAUUGUUUCGGUGGGGGAUGGGCUCGCGGCCUAUCAGCUUGUUGGUGGGGUGAUGGCCUACCAAGGCGGUGACGGGUAGCCGGCCUGAGAGGGUGGACGGUCACACUGGGACUGAGACACGGCCCAGACUCCUACGGGAGGCAGCAGUGGGGAAUAGUGCACAAUGGGCGCAAGCCUGAUGCAGCGACGCCGCGUGAGGGAUGGAGGCCUGCGGGUUGUGAACCUCUUUCGCCAGUGAAGCAGGCCUGCCUCGUUUGUGGGUGGGUUGACGGUAGCUGGAUAAGAAGCGCCGGCUAACUACGUG
rnacentral:rRNA from 1 species